UAUUGUAACUUUCACUUUUUUCUGUCCAUUUAUACAUAUUAUUUUCGUAGUGUUGUUCAUAUAUAUAUGAAUAUUCAUCAUCAGAUCUUUCGCAAGCGUAUGCCACCGGAAGCUGUGGAUCUUGUCUCAAGACUACUUCAAUACUCUCCAAAUCUUCGAAGCACAGCUGUGAGUAUAUAAUUUUAUCAAGAUAUGUGGAAGCUUUAUAGGCAGUUUUAAUCUUGUUGAAUAACAUAGACUGUCAAGUUAUGUUUGCAAUCAUUUUAUGGCUUCUGUUCAUGGUAUUAAUUUCCAUUGAUAUGCGAUGGCCUUUUUCUGUGCCUUUCAAAAUUCAUGUGAUUUCUAUCGAUAUUUUUUCCCAUUUUUUUUCCAUAAAUCUCUUCAGUUUUCUCUUUACCAUGUGCAUCAAAUGAAAAUAUAUUAAAUAUGAAGACAUUGAUAAUUCCUCUUUAUUAACUGAAGAUUCUUCAGUAAUAUUCCUAUAAUCAUUUCCAGUAUAGCAUUAUAUAAAUUAUGUUGUUUUGUGCCUUGUGAAAUGUAGUUGGAGGCUCUGGUUCAUCCAUUCUUUGAUGAAUUGCGUGAUCCAAAUACCCGCUUACCAAAUGGGCGUCAUCUUCCUCCUUUAUUUAAUUUCAAAGCCAACGGUGAGAACUAAUUUUCCUCCGAGUAUCAUGUUAUUAUAUUCAAUACCCAUUUAUUGAAUUAUUCUCUAAUGCUGUUCUUGCUGGUGAUUUGACACAGAGCUUAAGGGAGUGCCUGCUGAAAUGCUGGUGAAGCUGGUUCCGUCUCACGCAAGAAAGCAGUGUACUUUGUUUGCGUCGUCAUAGACUUAGAAUGCUGUCUUGUGUAAAUAUUAUGUACUCCCUGUUAGUAGAAUUGCAUCUAGCCUGUUUCAUGUUGUUAAUAGUCUCUCUUUUGUUAAUUGUUCCAUUAAUUUGUUUGUACCGUUUCUACCAAAGAAAACCACCUCAGCUUUUGAUUUAUUAUAAGUUUCAAGUUGAUCCAUCUUCACAAUUUAAUUGUUCUCCUGAUCUUAAAUUUUUAACAGAUUGUAUUAACUAUUAACUAGAACAAUUGUUUAUUCUAGUGAUAUACUUAUUCCCCUUCACAAUGUGAUUUAGUUAUGGAAGGUUUUAAAGCUUGCUUGGCAUAUCUCCCUUAAUAAUGAGAAGUCUGGCUUCUAAGGUUGUCUUGCUUUCAAGGGAUUGUUAUUCAUUAAUUAUCAUGAUAGUAAUAUAAUAUAUUGUUGCUUUAGUAAAAAAAUAUAUAAUAUAUUGUUGCUUGUAAAGAUUAUAAUGUUGCAAAACAGAAAAAGAACUGUUUGCUUCCAAUGAUAGUGCAGGAAGGCUUCCAAAUCCAGCUCUAAGUAUUGCAAGGCAGCUUAUACACAUAUGCAUAUUUAACUUGUCAACAUCAGUCCAUUUAUUUGAGUAACGAAGCUAACAAAUUAAUAAUAGAAAUUUCUCCUAAGAUGAAUAUAAUCUACCAUGGGGUUCUCUUCAAGCAUUCAAAUAAUUGAUAUUGAAUCAAGUCAUUCCUUAUGGAAUGUUUUGUUCAAGUAAGCUAAGGUAAAUGUAAUUCAGUUUUCAUGAUGCCUAAUCUUCCUUCCCCUAAAAGUUCAUCCUAUACAAACUAAGGUUCAAUUCGCAUAACAGAAAAUUCAGCAACAUAAUCUCCUUGGGUUUCUCAUAAUUUUCUCAUUUUUUAGUCCUAUUACACAAAACAUCAACUUCAGCCCUCCAAUUACUAAUUAGGGGAAAACUAGUAAUUUUCCCAAUUAUUGGUUAAAAGCAACUAAUCAAAGUUAAAUUAGCAUAACAUAAGACUUUUCUAAACGAGAAAUUCACUUUACUCGAUACUUUUUAUUUGAUGGUGGCCAAGGUUUGAAUCCCGAACUUUACAUAUAUUAUGCGUUGUCCCUACCAACGGGGUAACAUUCCCUUAACAUUAUUACUUCAGCCCAAGGUCUAGAUUAUAGAUAAAACCCUUAAUUUAACUAGCUAAUAGUAACUACUUCAAGAACUACUCACAAAUUAGUGAGUUGAAGCCUAUUUAGGGAAAGUCACUUUUCUCAUGCGCAUAUUUCAAAGCAAUGUUUGCUCAACAACAAAUCAACCCAAUGAUUAAACUAUGUAUGGAGGAAAACAAUGCCCAUUCUUAUGGUAUACUAGGCUUAAACAACAAAGCUCUUUUGGCUGAACAUUGGAGGUGCUAUGACAAUGGAAGUCAAUCGUUUGCCAAAAUAGUUUAGUGGCAAACAUGUUCAUUAGAAUGAUAAUCCUAUAUGAUAUGUGAAAGUAAGUACAAGACUAGUUGCAUAAAAGUACACCAAGGCAAGCUUCAAUACUCAUCAGUAACAAAAGUCUUCUGGUCAUGUACAAAGUAAAUAAAUAUUAACAAAAUAAUAAUUAGUUAAUAAUCACUAACUCAAUAAAUAACCAAGCUUAAUUCCCUAAAAAAAAAGAAAAAUAACCAAGCUUAAAAAUUUCUAUGAAAAACCUAUUUUUCUCUUCUUUGUGACGUAGCUAACUUGCAUUAUAUCUUCAACGUUAACCCACUAAUUAGUUAUUGGAAAAAACUAACAUUCUAACCAAUUAUCGCUUCUAAUUCAUCUAUUUCAUGAACUAAACUACACAUAACAUGUGGGUUUCAAUGGAAACAUUCUUCAUUCAUGUCAUAAACCCAUUACUACCAAGCAAUAUAUCUAACUAUAUCUAAUCAAAUCCAUGCUUAAUAGACAACCCAUAUUGCUUAUUUAAUAAAGACACAUGAGAUUUGGUGAGGAUGAUGCAAGUUCCCAACAAAAGUUUACACCGUGCAAAAUAAGUAUGUGUGUAUUUGUUCUACCUUGUGAAAAUGGAUUCUUCCAUGUGUAAUUUACACGUGAGAGAGUAAAGUCUGAUUCAUCACAAUUCAUCAAGUAAGAGAAAUAUAGAGGAAUUUAGAUAAAUUAAAUUUGGAUGGUGAUAAUUAACACUUUACUCUUUCAUGUGUAAAUUACAAAUGAGAGAAUUCAUUUCCAUAACAUAUAAUUAUAAAAAAGUGUAACUCUCAAAACAACUAAUGUGUUUUUAUUUGUUAUCCGUGUAUUCAUAUUGCUAGAUAUCCUUGAAUUAAAAGUUAAAUAUGGUUUUGGUCUAUAUAAAUAUUAUAACUUUUCAUUCAAGUUGUCCUAAAAUGUUUCUUCUACUUUUAUUCCUCCAAAAAAAAUUCACACCACUUUUUGUCUCUCCUUAUCAUUCGAAAUUUUGAAUGUUUUUUGCAGUCAUGUUUAGUAGAUAAUUCUUUGUUGCAAAAGUAUAAUUUUUUUUUAACAAGAAAUGAAUUUAAUAUGAAAUUUUAUGUUUUUUUUUUAGAAAAAUUAAUUUUCUAGAGCAGCUUAAAAUAGUUUCUAUUUGAAUCAAUUUUUAGAUUUUUUUCUUCAAAUUUGCAUUUUUCCUAAAAUAUGUAACAAACAGACGAAAACCUCUAAAAUUGAUUAUUCAAUUUUAAAAAUAGUGACUUUGUGAAAAAUAAAAAACAGUACCAAAUGGACUCUAAAUCUAAACUAAUAAUAACUUUCUUAAAGGGUGUGACACAAUGGUAUAUGAUAUGAGAGGGAGGUUGUACUAUUUACUAGAAAUGUAGGUCGCACUUUAUGAGGGAAUUCCAGUCCACUGAAUGUGGCAUGCUAUGCAAAAUAAGUCAUUCCUGAAAAAGAAAGCGGAAAGUAAAAGAAUUUCAUACCUGUUACAGCAUAGUACAUUAAUUAAUCUAAGGUUUUGUGUAGUACAUUUGAGUUUGAGAAGGCAAAUAAAAAUGCUAAACCGCCAUAAUCAUUGGUAGCUAUAUGAUAUAUGAGUGAUAAAAAGAAACGAAACAACCCUGACCAAGUAUAGUGUGUUAUAUGAAUUUGGGCGGCGUAAUAGGUGUGCUGAAUUGUAAGUAGUGCUGUUGUGACUGUGAGUGGAAGCAAAGCAUGCAUGAGAGAUGCAUCAAUUCUCAACUUCAGAGUGGAUGGACGGUUAAAGAUACAUAUUAAAUAAUACUAUUCUAUACAAUGAUAAUUCAGUAGUAUUUUAAUUAAUUGCUGGCAAAACUUUAGUAUGAUAUACUAUACUAUACUACUAUAUAUAUCCACUUUAAUUUAAAGACUGCAUUCAUUUGUUUUUUUAAACUGAAAUUGUGUCCAUGCAACUUGUUAUUACUUUUACUCUUGUCACUAUAGAUAUGGUAGUCCAUUUGCUUCUUUAAAUUUAACCUUACUUUACCUGCUCAUCUUCGUGGAAUUAAGAUAAUUGGUGCCUUAUUUUAUCGUGAAGGUGAACAUGCCUAGUUAAUUAAUUUAAGGUUUAAAUCUCUUUUGGUAUCUUAAGUAUUUAUUUGGUAUCGUUUUGGUCCCUUAACUAAAAAAAAGAUUGUUUGAGUAUUUUAAUUUAAUUUUCAUUAUAUUUUUUGGUCCCUUCCGUUAGGUUUAAUAAAAAACGUUAAGUGUGGUACACGUGUCGUUUUGGCAUUGGCUCUGGAAACAUUAAGGGACCAAAGUGAUACCAAAUAAAUACUUAAAGGACGAAAAGAGCAUUUAAGCUUUUUUUAUCAUCUUCUUCAUCUUCAUCAAAACCUUCAUCAUAUUCAUCAAUUAAAUCCAGAAAAAAACAUAAAAUAAUCGAAAAAAACUAAAAAAAUAAAUAUCAAAUCAGCAUAUCCUUCAAUCUUUCCUCUUCUGCGUUGAAUCUCAAACUUAAAACCUCAUGCUUUAAAUAAUCCUUUGUUGAAUCUCAAACUCAAAUCUUCUCCUCUUUACAACCAAGAAGAAAAACAGACUUUAUUCACAUAAAAAUUAUUCAAGCAUCUUCAUAAUUGUUUUUCAACGUGUUCAUAAUUAUAAUAAAUUUUUAUCAUUUCUUUAAAUCAUUCCUUCUCAAUUGAUUCACUUCAACCCAAAUCCAUAACCCCUCUUUUAUUCAACCCAAAUUCAUCUUGAUAAACAGGACAUUGAUUCAUUUUCGAGUUCAAUAACUCAUCGUCAACAGUCAUCGUCGCCAUUUCUGGGAGGAUCUAAUAUCCAUUGUCGUUGUACCGCGAGGAUCUACUAUCCACUGUCGUUUUUCUAGAUUCAAGGUUUUGGUGAGAGAGAAAAAUGGAAAUGGUUUUAGGAAACUAUGAAGAAUAAGAUUGAAGAAAUGGUGGAAUUUGAUUAUUGCGCUAAUCACCAUGCUCGUCCAAUUCUUCAUGAUUCGUUGUUCAUUCCUUCACACACAUCAAAUUAUUUAAUUUCCUUUCAACAAUUUAAUUUAGCAUCUUUUUUUGGGAAUUAAAGUUGCUGAUAUAUGAGAUUAGAGAUUGAAUGAUUUUGGGUUCUAAAUUGAAAAAGAUUUUUUUUCUAGGUUGGUGUGUUGUUGAUGAUGAAGAUCAUGAAGAAGAGGAUGAAAGGAGAAGGAAGAAGAGAAAUAGUAUAAACCCUAACGUUUUUUUGAUUUUUUUUAACAGAAGGGACCAAAACAGGUAACGGAGAUAAAUAUAAAGUACUCAAACAAUCUUUUUUUUAGUUAAGGGACCAAAGCAAUAUCAAAUAAAUACUUAAGGGACCAAGAGAGCAUUUAAGCCUUAAUUUAACAUGCUUGCAUCAUAUGCUGACCGAGAUGUACUGUUUGCUAUAUAGUGAGUAUAUUCUCUAAUAAACUCGAGAAUUUAUGUAUAUGAGUACUACAUGAACGAUAUUAUAACCUGCAAAAAUUAACACAAGAACAAUAUGCAAUGAACGAUGUUAUACAUUUAAUUUAACUGUGCUUGAGAUGGGCAUGCAAAUUAAUAUAUUUGUAUUAUGAAUUGGGUGUUUAAUGUUUGAGGCUCGUUGAAUCCUUUAUCUAUAUAUUUAUAAUAGGCGUUGUUCGUGUGGUACAAUUGACAGAUAAUUGAGUCUCUUAAGUAUACGGUCAUGAUGACAGAUAAUUGAGUCUUUUAAGUAUGUCGUCGUGAUUUUGAUUUCUAUCUCAUACGUGUGGAAUAACACGUAGGGGUUAAAGAAAAUAUUGAAAUUUGAUUUGUUAUCAACACAUAUAAAAAAUACUUCAUUUUGUUUUAUUCUUGUAGCCUUAAAACAUAUUAUCCUUUACAAAUUUGCUAUAGUAGAGACAGAACAAAAAGAUAAGUAUAUUAUAUAGUUAUGGGAAGAACAUGAUAGGCUAGUCCACUAACCAGCCUGACUUGUGUGGUUAUUCCGUUUUGCUCUUUUCAAAAUUGCCAAAUGCAGACUCCACAACCUCAAAAGAAAACCCAAUGUCUAUGAGGUAUAUUUGUCGGUUCCCACUUCUAAACCCAUUAUAAAAUUUGGUAAUAUUCAUAUAAAAACUUACCACAUUCUCCACUAUACAACUUGUUAUUAUAUAUAGUAACACAACCUUUCUUAUUCUGCAUGUAUUUCAUUCCAUCCAGUUCCAUUACCUUAUAACUCAAUUGCAACUUGUGUGUUCUAUAGUGUACUAGUGCUCCUAGUCACUUGAACAUAGAAAGUAGAAUCUCCUUUGGUUUUUCUUUCAACUUCCUCAAACUAAAGGUUACUAUUUGUGACUUUAUUCCUUUCAUCUAGUUGUUUUUACACUUGACACUCACUAAGCCAAUUAAUUUGUAUCUCAUAUUUUUCCUAAUUUUUAGUAGAAACUAUAUUUAAAAUGAAGCACUCUCCUAUUUUAACACUAUUAUUCUCUUUAUAUUUUCUUACUUCAUUUCUUUCUAUCCAAGCUAGACACCAUUUCCAUACAAAACACAAGCAUUACUCACAUUCUCAUAAUUCAUCAUCUGAAAUUUCACUUCCUCCUGCUCCACUACCUUCACCAACUAGUAGUGCUCCUGAAGAAGCUCCUAGUGCUAGUGCUAGUCCUAGCCCUAGCCCUGAAGUAGCAUCUGGCUUAUUGGAUGUAAGAAAAUUUGGUGCCAUUGGAGAUGGAAUAACUGAUGAUACUGAGUCAUUUAAAAUGGCAUGGGACACUGCUUGUCAAAGUGAAUUAGAUCUUAAUGUUAUAUUUGUUCCUCCUGGUUUCUCCUUCAUUGUUCAAUCUACUAUUUUCACUGGUCCUUGUAAAGGUGGUUUGGUAUUAAAGGUAAUGUACCUGCAAUUUUUAGUUACAUAAUUACUUAGGCAAAACUACACGAGUUGCUUUAAUUUAAUUUAAUUUAAUUAAAGUUUCAAUUCCUUUUUCUUUCUUUUUUUUCAUGUCAAAUAAGUCAUUUAUCUUUAAAAAAAAUAUUAACAUUGUUGAACUAACUUUCAUUCUUAGUGUACUUUUUGUUACAAAUUUGUGUACAAGAUCAUUGCAUGAUGGAGUAUAUUAUAAAGAAUGCUUUAUCACUUAGCACCACACCACACCACAAUUAGACCCUCUUCGUUGGCAACAAUGAUUUCACAAUCUCAGUUAAAAAGUUACAAACUAAGAAAGAUCAUGUCAAUUUUGUUGAAUUAAAUAUUUUAACAACCAUUAUAAUGUAACUUAGAUAUUCUCUUUGAAGAAUUGUAACAACCUUAAGUAGUUUUUUGGUAGCUUAUAUACAUAGAUGAAAAAUAAAGUUUGGUCCUACAUUGUGAACAUUUUUAAACAUAAAGUACUAACUUAACAUACAAAAAAAUACUAAUUUAACACAGAAAAUAUAAAAUGUAUGCUUGAAACUUUAAAUUAAGUCAAAGAAAACUGUACUUAAUUAAGGUUAAGGUUCAGUAACUGAUGACUUUGCUGGUGUACAUGGAGAAGGUUGAUGGAACUAUUAUGACACCUGAUGGACCUGAAUCAUGGCUAAAAAACAACAGUAGGCGUCAAUGGUUGGUCUUUUAUAGAGUCAAUGGCAUGUCACUUGAAGGAAGUGGUACAAUUGAUGGCAGAGGACAAAAAUGGUGGGACCUCCCUUGUAAGCCUCAUAAGGUAUUGAUAUAUAUAAGUAGAAAUUUUAAGUAAAAAAUUUAAAUUAAAUGUUGAUGCUUCAAACUUUAGUUGAUCUCUAACAAUAAUUUCCAUAGGGGCCUAAUGGAACAACAUUACCAGGACCUUGUGACAGCCCAGUUGUAAGUAUUAAAAACCUAUCUUGUGUAUUUUAUACAAUAUACAUCUUCUGUUUGUGUAAAUGCAUUAUGGUUAACAAAAAAUAUUUGUAUAUUGCAGGCUAUAAGGUUUUUUAUGAGUUCAAAUUUGACUGUACAAGGACUUAGGAUAAAAAACAGUCCUCAAUUCCAUUUCAGAUUUGAUGGCUGCCAAAGUGUGCAUGUGGAAUCAAUUUUCAUAACAGCUCCAGCACUUAGCCCCAACACUGAUGGAAUACACAUAGAAAAUACCAAUGAUGUGAAAAUAUAUAAUUCCGUAGUUUCCAAUGGUUAGUCACUAAAUAAUCAAUCCCCUAGCUCCUUUUACCUGUUGCAGCAUCCAAAGGAAUUAACAAAAAUACUUUUUCAUGAAUUUUCCUUUUAUAGGUGAUGACUGUGUUUCCAUUGGGUCUGGUUGCUAUGAUGUUGAUAUAAAAAAUAUCACAUGUGGACCAGGUCAUGGCAUUAGGUAAAUUAUUCUCUCCUUUUUUUUCUUCAUGAAAAGUUACAUUUAAUAGUAUGGAUAUGAGUUGAGUGCGGUCACAACCCCGUGGCCGCAUGCAGUCAAGCUCAAUAUUUUAGAUUUCAAAGAAUAUGCGUUGAAAUCUGGAAUAUUUGAUCUUGAUCAAACGAUCUAGAUGUGGUUGACUGCACUCACACCACGUAGAAUCCAAAUUUUCAAUUAAUAAGCUUUAUACUUUAUAUAUUGUUGUAAUGGUACAUGAUUUAAUGUUAUUUCAAACAAAACAAAAAAUCUAAUGUUAUUUUUAUUGUAUUUUAUUCAGCAUUGGUAGUUUGGGAAACCACAACUCAAGAGCAUGUGUAUCAAACAUAACAGUGAGGGACUCAGUUAUAAGGGUAUCAGAUAAUGGGGUAAGAAUCAAGACAUGGCAAGGUGGAUCAGGAUCAGUAUCAGGAGUAACAUUCAGUAAUAUUCACAUGGAUACAGUAAAAAAUCCUAUUAUAAUUGACCAAUUUUACUGCCUCAGUAAAGAUUGCAGCAACAAAACCUCUGCAGUAUUUGUAUCAGAUAUAGUUUACACAAGCAUAAAGGGAACUUAUGAUAUAAGACACCCUCCUAUGCAUUUUGCAUGCAGUGACUCAAUCCCUUGCACCAACUUGACUCUCUCAGAUAUUGAGCUUCUUCCUUCUCAAGGAGAUAUGUUGAAUGAUCCUUUUUGUUGGAAUGCUUAUGGAAAUUCAGAGACAUUAACCAUUCCUCCAGUAUUUUGCUUGUUGGAUGGUAUUCCUCAGUCUAUUCCAGCCAAUGAUAUUGAUCAUUGCUGACCCUUUAAAUUCUAUAAAGUAAAAAUGUGUGUGUAUAUAUAAUUUACUAGUGAAUUAAUUAAGGAAUAUAAAUAAAUAAUAUAUAUGGUCAUGAGACUCAUGACUCAUGAGUCUUUUGGUGUGAUUGCUGAGGAGUUGUGUUUUAGAUGCUCCUCCCCAAUUGAUAACUAUGUAUUGUAUAUUUUCAAUUUGAAAUGGAAGUUUGGUUUGGAUUUGUUGCUUGAAUUUGUGACUAAAUAAAUCUUGAUCCACUAUUGCUAUUAGUGUCACUUAUGGACCAUGGCUAUACAUUGUUGUAUAAUGUUGAUGUAUAAAACUGUUUUAAUUGAAAGGUGCGUUUGGUUUGCAAAACAGCAAGUACAGUACAAAACAGUACAAGAAAGAACAACACAAUAUAAGGGAGAACAACACAGGACAAAUUUUUAUGACAUUGAAUAAUUUUUUGUUUUAUACGAUUUUUGAGGGACAAAAUGUUAUUUUGAUAUUUUAGACAACUUGUACGUGGGACAAAAAGUUGUGCUGUGGUUUGCUGAGGGACAAAAAUACCAGUUUAUCCUGUCCUUGAAACAGUUUUACAAAUCAAACACUGGACAACUGGAGUUGUUCUGUCUUGUCCUUCAUUUUUUAGCAAAUCAAACGCAUCCAAAAUGCUGAUAUAAUUUGAAACUCUUAGGAGAUAUCAUUCAAAUAGAGUGACAUUGCUAUACUCUGUAUCGCUGCUAUAUGUUUCCAUAUUUACAUUAGAUUUUUCAUUGUUUCUAUAGGAUUUAUAGAAUUAUACAUAUAAAAAAAGUAAUGAAUGGAUGGAUGGAUGGAUAAGAGAUGUAUAACAUUAGUCAAAUAUAUCAUGCAGUCCUUUAAAUUAGAUACUUGUAACAAAUUAAUUUUAUUUUUUAAAGGAACAAAUUAGUCUUUUAUAACCUUUUAAACACAUUUCUUAAAAGAUGAAUGUUAGUAACACACAUUUUAACACAUAUUUUUCAACACACUCUCUUUGAUUGGUUACAAUUCACAUAGGUCCCACCAAAUCAUAUGGGUCCUAUAUAAAUUUGGUGGGUCCCAUGUGAAUUUUAACCAAUUAAAAAGAGUAUGUUGAAAAAUGCGUGUUGCUAGCAUUUCUCUCGUUAAAAAAAGUGACAUGUUCGCUAUUCACACUACAUGAUAGGAAAUGUAUGUUUAGUCCAUCCUACAACACAAACAUGAAAUCCUAUGAUUGGUCGAAAUUUACUGAAACUUUGUCUACAUUCAUCAAGUCGCAUAAAUCCUUUAAAAGACGAGGAACACACAUGUAAUAAAUAAAAGGAAAAUGCUAACAAAUGCUCUUACGCAUCCUAAAACAGUAACUUUUACAUAUGAAAUUGUGAGGUUAUGACUUUUACAUGUGUUUUAAUUUUGGGUUCCUUAAAUAAUAUCCUUAAGACACUUGUUAGCAAGACCCUAAGGAAAUAAAGGAAAAGACAAUGAGAGAUGAAAAAAAAAAAAUUGGAUGUGCAAAAGGAAAUAAAAUAGGAUGCCAUUUUUUUAAGGUUAUAAAAGACUAUCCCAAUACACUAUCAAAAAAUUUACUACACCUCACAUUUUACUAUAUAACUCAUAGAAUUGAAUUGGAGUAAUCCCUCCCUCCCAUACUAACUGAGUCAUUUUUAAUAAAAAAAAAGUGUCUCAAAAUAAUUGAGUCAUUUUAUUUUUUAAUACAAUAUUAAUUAUUUUUUUCUUUUUAUAACUCUAAUUAAUACUACUUUCAUCAUUCCUAAUUCAAUAUAUUCAAUUUUGCAUUUAUGAUAGUAGAGAAUGCACCGGUACUUAACAAAAACAUUAAAACCUUUUUUUCUCUCUCCUUUAUUUAUACACUUUUCUUAACAGGUGUGAAAAUGAGUAAAUGGUUCGGUUAAUCUAAAAUGGAGGGAGUAUAAUUUAUUGAAGUCCAGGGUCACCUAUGUGUAUAUCCGCCCGUGUGGACAUCAACAAAGUAACAAUUGUCUUCCAAUUUCCUUCAAAAAAAAAAAAUUGUCUUCCAAUUAUUCAUGAUAAGUUAAUAAAUGGUUAAUGACGGCUAACUUUCAGUUACCAAAUUCAUACACAAUCCAAAAUUAGGGAAUAAAUAUGUCUUAAAUUAAAGGAAUAUUAAUUGGUGAUGACUGAAAUAUGUAAACAAACCCAAUGGAGAAUCUAGAAAGCAACACAAAAAGGAAAUGAUGAUUACCUAAUUAUCGACGAGCGUGAGCGUUUGAAGAGAAUUUGUGAUCUAUAACCUUCACUUCUAAUUGGAUUCUGAAGUGGAAGGAGUGCCAAAUACCCUUUUGGUUUAUUAAAUUUUGCAUGCGUGGUGACAACUCUAAUCAUGUUUCACACGGUGUCCGUCUACUAUAUUUUACUCCCUCCGUCCUAAAUUGUAUGUCAUUUUAUAAAAAAUAUUUGUCUCAAAUUGUAUGUCACUUUACAAUAUCAAUGAAACAUUAAUGUUACUUUUCUUAUUAUAUCCUUAACUAUUUAUUACUCUUUCUUCUUUCAAUUAUUUUACUUAUUUUUCCCAUAUCAUUUAUUAAGGAUAAUUUUGUAAAACAACUCAUAAUAUUCUUUCCCAUACAAUAUUAAUUACAUUUCUUAAUAUGUGUAAAAUGCCUAAAACGUCGUACAAUUUAGGACGGAGAGAGUAUAACGCAACACUCACUUGUGCACUAUGUAAUUUAUUUCUUUUCAAGCUUAGUUUUAUAGUUUAUUAUUAUCACUACCGCAAAAUGCAAAACACGAAACAUAGGGGUGGAAACAAAAUUACUAUGCAAUUGCUAGAUCGGGAUUCAAGGAAUCAUUUACUGCUCCACUUGAGCUUCUUCAAGUCAUGUGAGUAAUUAUUUGGUAGCUCAAUGAUGGAUCCUUCUUUCAAAUCUACUCCUUUUUUACUAUUGUUGAUAAGUUAGAAAAUAGGUUAGGUCGAACUAUAUGUUGUUGCACGUCUGACUUUUUAUUUGUUAUAGGCUUGUCUUUAAGUCUCAUCUUUUGAAAGUCAAGUAUAGAUUGUACUUGACAAGAUAAACUUUGGAAUUUAUAGUUUAUAAACUCGUAUUAUCAAAAGAUAGCAAUUUACUUGAUCGCUGAAAAAUAAAAAUAAUUAAUUUUAUUUUGAAAAUUCAAAUUAUUCAUUUUUUAUGAUAAUAUUUAAAGACAUUUUACCCUUAAAAAACAAAACAAUUUAAAUCAAAUUUGGCACUCCUUCAAAUUUGGAAUGACAUUUUUCAAAGCCCGAUACAAUUUAAAUCAAAUUUGCCACUCCUUCAAAUUUUAUAUAGAGACAUUUAAUCCUCAUUGGGGACUAUUUUGAAUCAAAUUUGAAAUGACAUUUUUCAUAUUAAUUUAAUUCUCAAAGACCAAAUAGGUUGUUUGUGAUUUUUCACAAGGAUUAAUUUGAAUCUUUAAUUAGUCUUAUGGUAUAAGGAAGUUGUAAAUUUGUUUAACAAUGAUCAGUUAGGAUCUUUAGCCAAAAUAUUAGGUUGGUGAUAUUUCACAAGGAUCAAUUUGGUGACGAUAUACGUGGUAUAGCACUUAUGUUAAAUUUUUGGCAGUUUAGGAUAAAGUGAAAGGGCAUAUAUGUAGCUCCUAUUGCUACAAUAUAUAUUGAGGAGGGAAGGGGAGAGUGUCGCAUGAAUAUGGGGUGUGGAAGGUUGUCCAUAGCAAAGCUAACAUUAAAAGGAAGCAGAAGGAAUCUAGGCCACCCCAAAGGGCAUCUUGAUUCUCAUCUACCCACUACCAUGUUUGCCCCUGCCCUAAUAUACUAAUAUACUUUAUUUCUCAUGAAUAAAAACAUCUAAAAAAAGAAAACAAAUACUACUUUUUCUAUCCAUUGUGAUGCACGACAAGAUAAAGUAAAUGUUUCACACAUGUACAAUUUUAUUACUAUACCAUUACAACUCUUGAAAUGAAAUGAAAUGAACAUAAAGUUAAAUGUGGGUACCGGGAAGCAAGUUGUAAUAAAAAUCGGUGUGUUAACGUAAGUUCAUAUCAAUGCAAGGCGUGCUUAGUUACUAGCUAGCAAACAUGUUGAUAUGAAAUAUUUGUAAAAAAAAAUAAAAAAUACUUAUGAAAAAAUUUAAAGUUAGGAAAAUAUUCAACGCAUUUGUUUGCAAAGUGUGCUUAAUUACUAACAAGCAAACAUCGUUUAAAGUUUAUGGGGUUAAGUAGUUCAUCUGAUUUGAGUUAAGAAAAUAAAGCGUUGAUAAAGUUAAAUGUACAAUAUAAGUUAUGGUAAGGAAGAAAAAAAUACUACAUGACAAUUAACAUAUUAAUCGUUGUCAUUAAAAAAAAGAUCAAAUAUUUGUAAAAGAAAGAGUAUUAUUUAUGAAACAAUUUAAAACUUGGAAAAUACUCAGCACAUUUGUCUCUAAUGGUGCAUUCUUAAUUUAAACACAUAGUCACAGCAACAACACCACCGAAAGGUGCCAACUAAUUAGCAUAUGCCAAUUUUAGUUUUUAUUUUAUUUUUCUAUUUCAUUUUAUUAUGGGAAAGUACUGUGUUUGGUAACACAAAAAAGUUAGUUUAUAGCUAGUUUGUUGAACUAGCUUAUAAGCUUGUUUUGAUAAAAUGAGAUGUGUUUGGUAAAAAGCUUUUCUCACUAGCUUAUAGCGUUUUUUAAGAAGUUAAUCCAAGUAGCUUUUUAACUUAUAGCUUGUAGCUUUUUAUACUUUCUUCCCAUUUUAACCUUUUCUUAAUUUUAUUUUAUUAUAAUAAAAAAAAACUACCCACUAUCUUCUUAAACUAACUACGUUUACCAUGUAUGGCUUUUUAAAUUUUCUUGUCCAUUUUUUUGUUUUUUUUUUACUUUGCUCAUAAUUCAUAUAAUAUCUAAUUUUAUAUAAAUUUAUAAUAGUGAAGCAAGUUUAGUUAAAUAAAAUUCAUAAAAAUAAAAUAAAAAUUGUUAAAUAAAAAAAUUCGAUUGAAUUCAUAAAUACAUUUAUUAUUUUGGAGAUGAAAAUAAUUUGAAAUAUAUUUAAAUAUUUAAAAAUAAAUGUGUUAAGUAAUAAAAAUUAUAUAUAUGAUAUUAAAAAAAAUUAAACAAGCAUGUCCUUUUAUGUCAUUUUAUAUUUAUAGUCACUUCAACAACUAAUUUUAUCAAACACUUUUAAUUUUAAUCAGCUAACUUUUCAGCUAUAAGCUAUCAGCUAUUAGCCAUCAGCUAUCAACUAGCUUAUAGCUUUUUUUUUACCAAACACACCCUUAGUCUUUAACAUGGUUUGUAACUCCUGAUUUUCGCAAAUUAUCAAAUUUUACUUGAAAUUGUAAAAUAACACUCAACAUUGUCCCUUCAUAAAUUUCUACCUUGUGACAUAUCAAUUAAACAUGUCAUGUUGUAAGAAAGUAAAUUGUUUAUUAUAGAUUAACUUAUAAAAUUUAGGUUAUCUCACCGAUAAAAUUAUUGUUAAGAGUUCCACGUUAGAUAAGUGAUGAAAUGACAAUGUGUUUAUAAGUGGGGGCAAUCAUCAUCUCACAAGCCAAUUUUGUGGGGUUGUGUUAGGCCCAAUCACAAUUUCUAAGAUGGUAUCAGAGCCUCUCCAUGAUCCAUUGGGUCACCUGUUAUCAGGUUUCUGCUAUCGGGUCACCUAUCAUUUAUGUCCAUGAACCAAGCCCAAUAUUGCUGGUCGUGAGUGGGUGUGUUAAGAGUCCCACAUCGGAUAUGUGAUGGUUUGACAAUGUGUUUAUAAGUGGGGGCAAUCAUCACCUUACAAGUCGGUUUUGUGGGAUUGUGUUAGGCCCAAAACAAGAUUAUUUUGACUAACAAUUUACAAUUACAUAAUGACUGAUAUAUUUGCCGGUUCACAAAAAUUACGUACAAAUUUGGCCAAAACUUAAGUUUGAAGACUAAUUAUUUGCGUACUGUUCUAAUUGCAACCAGGGCCGUCCCCGGGAAGGUGCAAACAGCUCUAUAGAACUGGGCCUCUCCAAUUUUGGGGCCCAAGUUUUUUUUUUAAUAUAUAAUGCAUAAACAAUAUUAAUAUAUACUUGUAGCAUUGUGAAUUUAUCAUUAGGGAAGUUGUGGCCUAGUGGUAAAACAUGUGAGUGUUGUGUUUGUUGACGUUGGUUCAAUUCCUAGUGAUGACAAUUGUUCACAUUUUAUUAUUUUUCUGCAUUACAUUAGUUUUUUUCUCUCUAUUUUACAAAAAAAAAAAAAAAAAUUAGGGGCCAAAUUUUUUAAGAGUUUCGGGCCUCUGAUUUUACAGGGACGGCCCUGAUUGCAACUACUAACUUUCUCGGAAUGCAGACACAGAAAGUUUAAGCUAGAACGUGACUGAUCAACAAUUGUGAAUCUAUUGCGGAGCAAGUAUGUGGAUUCUCUAAUCCUUUUCCACGUUCAGCAAAUUUUUAUUUAACUUUUUAGACAAAUAAGAAAAGAGAGGUUCCAAUUGUGUAGCUUGUGAUUGUGCAUGUCAUUUGCAAUCCUUUAUGGAAGAUAGAUAGCGAUUAAAGUGUGUUUAAGUUGAUAUUGUACCGAAUGCCUUAUUUAAUAAAAUUACUAUUUUCAAAAUAAAAGAAAUAAAGUGGUGGUUUUAGACUCUAAUUGGUUUAUAAUUAGGUUUAGAUUAAGUAUAGUGGACUGAUUACUUUUUCCCUAUGAUUUGUAAUACAAUUAUAUUAGUGCAAUUGAAGCAUACAUUAUUACAAGUCAUGAGUUUACAUGUUAUAUUAAAACACGCCUAAUGAAGAGGUGUAAUAUUUCCCUCAUUUGCUGAAUUAAGAUCCACUCCUGUAUCGAUUAAAUACUUCACAAAAUCAAUAUGUCCAUUUGUUGUAGCCAUAUGAAGAGUCGUUCUUCCUUGAGCAUUGUUGAAAUUAGGAGUGGGAAUAGGCCAGGCCGCUCGUCAGGGGCCUAUGGUUUGGCCUACUAAAAGCCCGGUCCGGCCUAGCUCGUUUAAUAAAUGAGUCAAGCUUGAGCUUUUUAAAAAGCCUAUUAAUUUAAUUAGGUCGGGUUUAAGCUUAUAAAAAAAUAAUUUUGAAUUUUACUGGCAUAAUUAAACCCUCAAUAAUGCAAAAAAUCCCUCAAUACUACGCAUUACUGACAGAUUGGUGUCCCUCAGUAAUAUUGGCGUAGUAAUGUUACUGGCAGAAUUUUGCCUCAAUAAUGGAGAGGUAAUACUAACAAAGCAUUACUGAGUGAUUAUUCCUUCAGUAAUUAUUACUGACGGAUUUAUCAGCCAGUAAUGUUUUUGCAUAUCUGUAUUAGUGACAGAAUACUCCACCAGUAAUGCACUUUCUACCCUUUUUAGUUAGUGUAGUUUGGUGUGCAAACUUAUUGAAGUCUAAGUAUUUGCUCUUCCUCUAAAAGAGCUCAAAUUAAUUCAAAUUGUUUGUAAAAUGUUUAUCUGGUCUAGUAGAUCUGAUGAUUCCAAAAGAGCUCGUGUUGUUUGGGAGUAUAUUCAUUUACAUAAGACAGGUGAUGGGUGGAAUGUCAUUGAUUUGAAAUACUUGAACCAAGUUGCUCUGAGUAAACAAUUCUAGAACUUGGCUAACAAGAAGGAUAUUUUUGGUUUAAAUGCAUUCAUGAAUACUACAUAAAAGGGAGAAAUAUGUUGUCUAUCGAAGUUCCUCCACAAGCUUCAUGAAUAGUAAAAAAUGUCUUUGAUGCAACUAAGAAUUUUGCCAGUGCCUAUGAUAAUGUUCUUCAAACAACCAAACUUUUCUAUUAAGAAAAUAAAUAAUAUCUGAAGAGUUGAGUUUGCAAAAGUUAAUUGGAGGAAAAUGAUUUGCAACAACCAUGUCCCUCCAAAAUGUUUGUUUGUUAAUUGGUUCGCUAUUCAUGCAAGAUUGCAAACUUGUGACAGGUUGAAUAUAGUUGGUAUAUAAUGAGACCAAUUGUAUGUUUUGGGUAAAAAGGAGAAUGAAACUCAUUCUUACCUUUUCUUCAAGUGUGAGUAUUCUGAUGUUGUUUGGACAUGUAUCAUGCAAUAGAGUAACAUAAGCAUUAAUACUAGCAAUUGGCAGUUAGUGAUGUAAUGUCUCCUGAGACAAUACAACAAGAACAUGUGUAUUCAUCAAUUAAGUAGAAUGGUUGUGAGUGUGAAUCAAUAUUGAUAUGGAAUGAGAGAAAUAAUAUAAGGUCUUAGAACUUGCACCAGUCAGUACAUGAGCUCUUUAGCCAAAUAAAAAUGAUUGUCUACAUAUUAGAGGGUUUCAAUAUAAGAAUUUAAAGAACCUAGCGUUAGAGGGUUGCAUAGUUACAUUAGGUGUAGUAUUUAAGCAUAUGUGUUUAUUGAAUUUACUAUUAUUGAUGUUCAUUAUUUUAUGUGUGUUUAAAUGUAGUACAUUAUACAUUUAGUCUUGUAGUAUAUGCAAGAGUAACUUCGAUAAAAGUUUAAGGGUCAGUUUGUUUCCCAUGAAAGUAUAAGGAAAGAUUAAGUAAGGAUGGAAAGUAGUAGGAUUUAUAAUCCUUCUAUCGUUUGGAGUAACCUUAAAAAGGGGAGAAUGGAUUCUGACAGUUGGGUCCCACAACCAAAUUGUCUCCUGAUAAGUGCUAGGAAGUAUUAUUUUAAAUGUUUAUUUACUACACGUUUGUUACUUGUUUCACAAGUUAUCUAGGGAAAAGCCGAGAAAAAAGUGAAUUUUGACCUAUUACGUUGUAGUCAUCUUACUCUACCCAUUUGUGCAGGAAUUGAGUGCCAAAACAUCAAGCAAGAGCCAAAAACAACAAAAAGGAGAAAAGGUCAGCUCGCCAUGGCGAGCCAAAGGCGACCCAAAUGACGAGCAACUCCAGAGAGUUCCAGGCUCCUUCACCACAGAGAUGGCCAUGGCGAACAGUUCCAUAAAGUUGGAAAAUCAGGACAAGAGCAUUUCGCCAUGGCGAGACAAAGUCCUGCCAGGCGAAAUAAGGCGGUUUCAUUUGAUCCUUGUGACGUGGCAGAAACCCACUGGCAAAGAAAGCUCAAGUCGCCAGGCGAGACAAACUUCGCCAGGCGAAAUGUUACUUUUUCAGCAUAUGUAUAAAAGCUCAUUUCCCUCAUUUCAGACAAUAUCAUAUAGGGUUGGGAAUAGGCCAGGCCGGCCUACAGGGGCCUACGGCCUGGCCUGGCCUGGACUGUUUAGUAGAUAGGCCUAGGCCUAGGCUUUUUAGAAAGCCUGUUUAGUUAAAUAGGCCAAGUUUAGGCUUCAAAAAAAGACUGUUAAGCCUAAUAGGCCGGCCUAUUAAUACUUAUUUAUUAAAAAAUAAUUUUUUAUAUUAAAAUAAUUGCAUAUAUUAAAAAUAUAAACAUCUUUUUCUCUAUCUAUUAGUCCCUUAAUAGGCUUUGUUGUUAUAGGCUUUUAUGUAGGCUUUAAUCUAGUUGAAAUUUACUUGUAGUGAAAUAGGCUUUUAAGUAGGCUUUAAGACAUGUUUAACCUAUUUAGUAGGCCAAAUGAACUAUUUGAUGGCCUUAAUGUGAAGUAGGCCUGUAAGUAGGCUUUCAGGCCAGUCCAGGCUUUUAAAUAGGUCAGGCCAGGCCUAGAAAAACGGCCUAUGAUAGGCCAUAGGCCAGGCUCAGGCUUGUGAUUUAUUUCGAAGGCCAGGCUCAGGCCUAUCAAAACCUGGCCUGGUUUGGCCUAUUCCCACCCCUACAUAUAAAAUUUUAGAGAGAGAAUAGGGCAAAAAUACCCUGUUUACAUUGGGCAAUAAUGAUUGAGUGUGGAUUCAUCAAGAUUCUUGGAGAAAUCAAGUUCCUUUCAUGGAUUCUCAACUUUCCUUCCACUUUUGUAAAGUUCUCAUGACAAUGAUGAACUAAAUCUCCUUAGUUGAGAUUAGAGGUACUUGAUUGAGCUUAGAAUGUAAUCUUUUAAUCUUAUAAUAUAUGAUUCUAGCAAUUUACAUGAUAUUGAAGUUAUUCUUGCAAUUCAUUUCCAUCUUUGAUUUAAUUGUUAUUGAAAAGUACUUUUGAAUCUAGGUUUAGAAUAAUUCAUCUAUCAAAACAAUAAUUCUAGACAUAGGAUUGAUGUUUUGAUAAUCACACAAGGUAUCGGUACAUAAAGCUUUCGGAUCGUUGAAUAGAUUGAGAAAUCGUCAAUUAAACGAUACGAUCGACAAUUGGAUUGUUUAAUAGUUUGGGAAAUCAACUAUUGAACAAUACAAUUGAUCUCAGGACACUAAUAAUCUUGUUGAGCGAUACGUGAUAAUAUCGGUAAAACGCUAGAAUCCAUAUAUGUGAUUAUCAGGUUAUGUUUGACGCUUAAUCAAGGAACUCUAAUUCCAAUGUUUUUACGCCUUAUUACUCUCAACUUUUACUCUUGCAACUUAGUUUCUAAAACGAACAACAAAUUAUCUUUCAAACUUAGAAUGAUAUUUGGUGUCGAACGGUCGGUGAUAUCGCACUAGUCCCUGAGGAGACGAUAUAAAUACUUACUAUUGUUUGAUGCAAAAAUACUACAUUAUUUUCGCGCUGUGAUGGACGGAAAGAACGAAGAAACCACUAUUUUAACUGAAAUUACAUAAAUGCCCUCAAUCUCUUAUACGUCAAAGUUGAAAAGCAAUAUGCUCCAUAUUUUAUUUUUUUGGCUCUCUAAUGCAAAUCCAUGAUUAUAAAAAAAAAAAAAAAAAAAAAUCGCAAAUGCAUUUCAACGUAGACAUUGAACUAUAUUAGAAUAGAAAAAAUGGAAAUAAAAUUCUUACAUUUAAUUGCAUUUGUAUAUUAAAAAAAAGUGUGGUUUAUUGAAUUAAUAUAUAUAUCAUUUUUAUGUAAGGACAAUAAUGUCAAUUAACUACACAUAAUUUUUUCUUUCCAUUCACUUUCACUCAUACCAAACACACAAAUAAUCAUUUCACUUUCUUCUUACUUUCUUUCCUUUAACAAUCUUUCCUCUCACUUUCUUUUGUGAUCCAAACAAAGCCUAAGGGUGCGUUUGAUUUGUAAAAGGUAGGAUACUGGACAUAACAGUACUGAACAAGUGACUGAGUCAUAGGACAACUUUUUAUAUUACUGUAAUACCCUUUGUGAUGUACAAUUUGAUUUUUCACUGUGUAAAAACACAACAAAAUUUUAAAACUAUUUUAUUUAUUUUUCUAAUAGUAUAAAAAUUAAAUUUGAUAAAGAUGUUUAUUUAUAUAUAUAUUGUCAACUACAUGGUAUUUUUUUUAAGGAAUCAACUACAUCGUAUUAUAUAAUAGCUUUUAGCAAAAAAAAGUGUGACAUCAUAAUAAUCAUCAUAUAUAACACACACGCAGAGCAGAGAAGAAAAAACAAAAACAAAAUAGAAAAAAAAUUGAAAAAUGACUAAUUGAAUGAAGAAUUACCUAAAGACGAGAGUUUUGAGGUUUCAAGAAAUAGAAGCAAUGAAGGGAUAAAUUAGUCUUUUUUGUAUAAGUGAACAAGGGACAAUACUUUGUCCACUGGUUUGGCGCGGUACAAAAUAAUAGGUAGUUGUCCAGUGCAUCACUUCUUAUUUUGUGCUGUCCUUUAUACCUUUUUCAAAUCAAACGCUAGACAAAUAUUGUUGUCCUGUCCCGUGCAUCAUUUUUUUACAAAUCAAACGUACUCUAAGAGUGUGUUUGAUGUAGAAGAGAAGUUGUGAAGAGAGAAAUAGGUAAGAGAGAGAAUGAAAAGAGAGAAAAAGAUGAGAAAUAUAGUAGAUUUGUUGUAUUUGUUUGGUAGAAGAGAGAUAUAAAAGAAAUAGAGAAGAAAGAAGUGUUGAUUAUUUUUAAAAGUACCAAAAUACCCCUAAUUAAUAAACAUUCAAUGAAAACUUAAUUUAUUAAAUAACUUAAUUCAAUUUUUAAUAUAAAUUAUUGAUGACAAUGAUGAUGAUUUUUUUGACAAACGAUGAAGAUUAUUAUUAAAAAUUAAUUAUUUCAUCAAUUUGUAACUUCAUUCAAAUGGAAAAUACUUGGGUGACAUGGAGUUGGGUGAUAUUGGCCAAUCACAAUGUCACAAUGCUUGUGAAAGAGAGAAACACAAGCAUUGUGACAUUAUGAUUGGCCAAUAUCACCCAACUCUAUGUCACCCAAUCGCUACACUAUUCAAAUAAAUUAGAACUCACUAUUUUAUUCUUAUUGAAAAUCAUCCGUUUAAUAACAAAAAUGGAAAAGAGUGAAGGAAUAAAUAAAUUUAAAAAACAGCAUAAUUAUCCUUUGGCCUUCUCCUCCAUAUACGGCAUUCAUAGCCUUAUAACUUCCAGCAGGGUAACUUCUCCUUCAUAUAUGCAGCUUAAUUUCAUGUGUGUGAGAGAGUUUUUCUAUUUUGCUUCCUCAUCCUUCAUCUACCACCGGCAAAUCAUACCUUCAACUUGUCUCCUAAAACUUCCCUUUGUUUUAUGCUUCAUAUUGAAUAAUCAUUGUUGCAAUUUGCAGAAAGAUAAUAAAUCAUAAAUAAAAUUUCAAUAAAGGGUAAAAAUGGAACAACAAAAUUAAGCCAUCCCUCUCUCCCGUCUCUUCGCUGUUCAGGCGGAGAAAACAAAAAGCAGUGGGUCCCACAAAUUUUUAGUCUCUCUUCUCUCUUUCUCUGCAUUCCAAAUAGGAGAAAGUGACCAACUCUUUUCUAUUUCUCUCUUCUCUAUCUCUCUUUCUUAUUUCUCUUCAACCAAACAGAAUGUAAGAGUUUCUGUUCACACUAUUACUUUUCUAUUGACUUGGGUAAAGUGAAAUUCCAAGUCAAGCCUUUUUGUUUUUUCAUAGAACUGUAUAUAUGAAAAUGCCAACAAACUUUUUUGGAGCACCAGUCCGAAAAAAUAAAUAUACUAAAGAUAUAUUAAAACGUGUCUAAUCAAACUUUUAAGAAAGUAAAAAAUAUUUUUUCAAUGCAAGUUUUAUUUUAUUUUUUGGAUCAUGCUGAGAAAUGUCUAAAACAUUGUUUAAAGAAUUUAUUUCUUAUUAUAAAAAUAAAUAUAAAUCAAACAUAUAUAAAAAUAAUAAUUACACAAUUUUUUUCACAAAAAUUAAACUGAAUCAAGGGUAUUUGAUUAAAGUAAAGAAUGUUACUAGAGACUCAGACUAGUUAGCAUGAUGACCCUUUCUUUCAAAAAAGCAUGAUGACUAUAUAUAAGAAUGAAAAGCAGGAUGAUAUAGUUGAUGCGUAAUGAUGCGACGUCAGCACAUAGGUGCAAUGACGAAACAGAUUUAUAUUCCAUUACCUAAUCGCGUCAUUCAAUUUUGUUUUUUCCUCUCGUCCACUGCUUUAGAAUUCGAAUCGAAUUACUAGUUCAGUUUAGUGUUUUGUGUGACUAACUUCACAACAAGAUUAACAUAGAUAUAAGUAUAAUAUUUUGCUCAAAAAUUACCUAUUGAAUUUUUAUUUUUUUUGACACACACGAGACAUCUAAUUACCAAAUUAUAUUUAUACUUUAUAAAGUGUAGUUAGACCUCUUAAGACAAUACCACAAAACCGACUUAUAAAGUGAAGAUUGUCUUUCCUAAAAUUCUUUAACUUAUGCAACCAAACUCCCUUGAAAUUUAAUGUUUUUUUUCGAUCAAAACAUAAAUUAAAUGAUAAUUUAUUGUAUAUUUUAAUUACGCUAAUAAAGGUAUGUAACUCCUUUUUUUUUUUUUAAGGGAAAAGGUGUGUAACUCUACCUCUAAUAUAUUGUAAUGAUAAGCCGCACAAUUUUAUAUAUAUUUUUGAGUUAUUAUAGUAUGUUAUAUGUAUGAAAUUUCUACCGCACUUACCAACUCUGUUGGAGAAUCUGUUGAGCAUGUUAGGUCAGUUCUAUCUGCUUAACCGAAUUUUUACACUCAUAUUUUUAUGCAUUUCUUUUAUUUUUAGUACACGUUUCAUCUAAUUUUUCUCUUUUAACUAUCUUCACAUUUCUGUUUGUAUAUAAUAGUGUCAGUGUAACUACGGCUCUGAUUGGGAAACCCCAAAAAAAGCUUUUAGCUUUUAACUUAUAGUUUAUAAGCUCGUUUGACAAAAAAAGCUCUGUUUGGUAACACUUUUUCACCAUGAGCUUAUAGCUUAUUUCACGAACUUAUAAGCUAUUUUUCAGAAGCUAUUUCAAGUAGCGUUUGAGCUUAUAGCUUAUAGCUUCUCACUUUUUCUUCCAAUUUUACCUUAUUAUUUCAUUUAAAUUGUAUUUUUAUCCAUUAUAAUUUUUAUAAUAAGUUACGUAAUAAAGACUACUAUCCCUUUAUUCCAAUUUUUGUAUAUAUAGCAGCUGGCCUUUUUUUUUUUUUUUUGAAAAAAUAUAUACCUUCGUUUUUUUUUUUUACGAAACAAAAUACUAUUACUCUAUUAGUGCUACCUUUUUUUUUGUUUUUGAGGUAAAUGUUAUUUUCUUUAUAAAGUGGAAACACUUAACUGAUAAUAAAUAUAAGAUAAAAUUUUAGUGAAUAAAAUUUAAUUUAAUUUAUAAUACAUAGGAUAUAUUAAAUUAAUAAAUUUAAAGUAUUUUUUGAAAGAAAAAUUAGUUUACAAAAUUACAAAUACGUAAAUUAAUGAUAUAAUUUUUAUUAUGAAUUAAGAAUACCUUUUAUGUCAUUUUACAUUUAUCAGCUAGUUGAACCGCUAUUUUUACCAAACACUUCAGUUAGCUUAUCAGCUAAAAGCUAUCAGCUAACUUAUCAGUUAUCCGCUAUUUUUACCAAAGAGAGCCUAAAAAAAUAGUGUCUGCAAUAAUUAGCGUUUUAGACUAUUCAAUCAUUAUACCUUUUUGUUUUUCUUAACGUGCCUCUCUAUUUCAAAGAAGCUAGGCAUAAAAAAAUGUACGUGUUUGCAAGACUUACAUAUUGACUUGUUGUCCGAUCCAACAAAAGUAUUUGUGUGGCAUAUUGGUCAUUUAGUUAGAUUCCUUUAACUUAAUUAAUUAAUGACAAUGGCCAAAACUUGUCAUGAUGAAACGCCAUGAAUUAUGUCCUUAUAUUCAUCACAAAGUUUAGAAACAACGAAGAAGCAACCAAGAAACUACGUGCUCUUGGUAUCUUCCUUCACACUUCCCUUUAUCAUUUUUAUUUUAUUUUCAAAUAUAUACAUUUUUUUUGUGAACAUGGAGAUCAAUGGCAGCAAGAAGAGGAAAAUUUGCAACGAAGAAUUAGAUGAAGAAAAACAAAAAGAAGAGGAAGAGAAAAUAGAGACGUUUUUUGCUCUAGUGAGAAACAUGCGUGAGACACGUGACCGUUGGAGGAACAAAAUGAGUGAAAAUAUUAAGGAAGAAAAUAGAGUUGUUGGUGUUUGGAAGCCUACGUUUAAACUUGAAGAUUUCGCUGAAGAGGGUGCAUCUAAGAGCAAUAAUAUUAACUGUGCUAAUAUUAUUAAGGAAGAUGACACAGAAAAAGGUAUUAACUUGAAGCUCUCACUUUGAAAUUGUUGCUACAUGCAUCAAGAUAUCGUAGCUUGAUCUUAUGUUGUGUGUUGUAAAUUUGUAAUGGAUCAUUUUCAUGAUUUCUUUCCCUAACUUAUUAGUUGCCAAUAUGAGCAACAAGUAGAUUUAUAGUUUAAUUUAAUCAUAUGAUUUAUAUGUGUGCACUGUGCAGUAUGCUAUUGUAGUACUUUAGCAUCGCAUCCUAUAUAAUUUUCUUCAACUAAUUAACAGUUGUUUAUGCUCUUAGUUCAAAAAAUACUCCUUCAAAAUUCAUAGUUAACGAAGCUAGAGUUGUCACUCCGUCGCAUAUUGAAGUUAUUUAAACAAUUUCAUAUAGAUCAAUACAAGUAGUUAAAUUUGUAUGGUGAAGAGAAAUUAUGAGUAACUUUAUAGAAUUAUCAUUUAUAGUUGGCAUGAAAAAUAAAAAUUAAAGAAUUGAAAAGAAAAAAAGAAACUUUUGAAUUGAUAAUCUGGUAUUUCGUGUGAUAAACUGUGGAGACUAAAUUUUCAAGUUGAUAAGACCACAAUAAAUUACAAAUUCCUCAAAAUAAUUAACACUUUUUUAAUGACAUAUAUAUAAAAGAAAAAGAGAACAAAUGUUCAACACCAACAAUAAAAAGGAACCAAAAAGAUAAAAAAAAAAAAAAAAAAACCUAGCAUCACCAAUAUCAAACAAAAAUACAACACCCUAGAAAAAUACGAAAAGAUAAACACCAACCACAAAGCAACUUAAGAGGGAAAGAACGCCCCUACAAGGCUACAACAAACACCAAGAACCCAACACAAAAGGACAAUGAAUGAAGAAAUUUAACACUAUUGUAUUUUCAGAGCUGAAUUUAACUCAUGACCUCUAGUUAAGUUGGAAGCUUUUACUAUCUC
rnacentral:lncRNA from 1 species